rnacentral:tRNA from 1 species
GGCACGAUAGCUCAGUGGUAGAGUAGGGGACUCAUAAGCCCUUGGUCGCGGGUUCAAAUCCCGCUCGUGCUA